UACGGGGGGGAGCAAGCGUUGUUCGGAUUUACUGGGCGUAAAGGGCGCGUAGGCGGUCAGCACAAGUCAGUUGUGAAAUCUCCGGGCUUAACUCGGAAAGGUCAACUGAUACUGUGCGACUAGAGUGCGGAAGGGGCAACUGGAAUUCUCGGUGUAGCGGUGAAAUGCGCAGAUAUCAGGAAGAACACCCGUGGCUAAGGCGGCUCUCUAGUACGGUACUGACGCUGAGACGCGAAAGCGUGGGGAGCGAACAGG
rnacentral:rRNA from 1 species